CGCCCUCCUUUGCCCAAAUGCUGCAGAAACGAUUCGCUACUGACUGUGUCUACUGCAAUAGCCUGUGUCCCAGUUCUACAAUAGUCUGUUGAAGGAGCUUGAAUAGAGAGGCACUUGAGGAUAAAAAUAAAACAUUAAGAGCUCUAAACACAGAGUUACAACAACAUCUGCUGAGGAAAAUGAACUUCUCAUCAACAGCAAAGUUCAGUGAUUCAUUUGGGGGGCGACAUAUCCAUAUACAGAAGGAGGCUUGGUCCAGAACCCAAAGCAACAUAAAAUACUUGUUAUAUGCGAAGGAGUUGGCUGUGGGGAUUUAGAAAACCAAAACACUGGGGAGAUGAACCUCACAGGGAAAGAGUGUCCCACAACAAAAGCUUCCAGACAGAAUCUAACCCCACAGAAACUUCAAACAAUGAAGGGUGCAUCAAUCUUUCCAGCAGCAGCCACAUGCUGUGUGUGUAAAAAAUGUGUUAUGGGUAGGGUUGUUCAAUACAGACCGCUUAAUAUUUUCUUUGCUCUGUAGUGACAGAGGCGUCAGCUUGAUAAGUCAUUUCCACACCACCUUUUUGGCCCCUUUUCUUUCCACUUCUUUUAUAGGCAAUGAAUGGAGCAAUUAUGCAUGUUAAUGUAAGUGUGUCUACUUCAAGGAGUGGCAUCAAAAGAAAAACAGAGUUGGAAGAGGGCUGGGCAUUGCAUAACAGAAAAACAUAACGGAAAUGAUUAAAUGUGUGUGUGUGUGGGUGGGUGGUUCACCACGGGUGGGCUGAAAUAACAGAACUAGUAAGUUCUGUUCUGUUAAUAUUGAUUAUUGCUCUUAUUUAUUAAAUAAUCAUACUGCAUGGAAAGCAUAAAUAGCCUUUAACUAGUUAACAGCACACUCACAUUAAGAAACAUUAUGUGACAUUUUUUAUGAUAUUCAUCUAGUCCAGCUGAUAUCAUCACAUCAGCAUACCAUGCUGGUGACCAGCCACAACCAUUCCGGCAUCCAAUUCUGAUGAACACUGUCCAAAACACAUGAUAUGCUGGUCACGCUGGUAUCCAGCUAUGCUGGUAACCGGCUAUAUAGGCACCAACUCCAUAUUAAUGCCCGCAAUUUUGAAUGAGAUGUUGGAUGUCAGGACUUCAUAUAUUUGUCAGGUAGUGUAUAUACCUAUAUAUACCCAUACUGUCAUUUCUAAGGUAAUUAUCCCAGCUCUUGAUCAGGAUCCCAGGUCUUUAUUUAAUAAUUAAAUAAACUUCUGUACCCCAUUGGUGUCACCACGGACCCUAUUUUGGUGACAACAUAAGGACAACCAUGCCUGAGUCCAAGUAGAAUUUCUAGUUUUGUCUCAUGCAAAUGGAAUGCUUGUUGCCUGUGCCGGGUUUGGUAGUUCUGUGGUCUGCAAUAAACUUAUUUGCAUCAAUCAGCAUGGGGCAUCACAAUAGCAUCACAAUAGGGGGUGUGUCAAUAAAAACACUUGCCGCUGUGCAAGUUCGGUGUUGAAUAAUGCAUUUACGUUUAAACUAAUCCUGACCCGGCUUAAACUG